rnacentral:rRNA from 1 species
ACCGGCGCACGGGUGCGUAACGCGUAUGCAAUCUACCUUUUACAGAGGGAUAGCCCAGAGAAAUUUGGAUUAAUACCUCAUAGUAUUACGACUCGGCAUCGAGAUGUAAUUAAAGUCACAACGGUAAAAGAUGAGCAUGCGUCCCAUUAGCUAGUUGGUAAGGUAACGGCUUACCAAGGCUACGAUGGGUAGGGGUCCUGAGAGGGAGAUCCCCCACACUGGUACUGAGACACGGACCAGACUCCUACGGGAGGCAGCAGUGAGGAAUAUUGGACAAUGGGCGCAAGCCUGAUCCAGCCAUGCCGCGUGCAGGAUGACGGUCCUAUGGAUUGUAAACUGCUUUUAUACGAGAAGAAACACUACUUCGUGAAGUAGCUUGACGGUAUCGUAAGAAUAAGGAUCGGCUAACUCCGUGCCAGCAGCCGCGGUAAUACGGAGGAUCCAAGCGUUAUCCGGAAUCAUUGGGUUUAAAGGGUCCGUAGGCGGUUUAGUAAGUCAGUGGUGAAAGCCCAUCGCUCAACGGUGGAACGGCCAUUGAUACUGCUAAACUUGAAUUAUUAGGAAGUAACUAGAAUAUGUAGUGUAGCGGUGAAAUGCUUAGAGAUUACAUGGAAUACCAAUUGCGAAGGCAGGUUACUACUAAUGGAUUGACGCUGAUGGACGAAAGCGUGGGUAGCGAACAGGAUUAGA